rnacentral:tRNA from 1 species
GUGGUGGCUCAGUGGGUACAGUGCUUGCUUUACAAGCAGGAGGACCUGAGUUCAGAUUCCCAGAACCUACA